UACGAGGGGGGCGAGCGUUGUUCGGAAUUAUUGGGCGUAAAGGGUGCGUAGGCGGUUUGGUAAGUCUUAUGUGAGAUCUACAGGCUCAACUUGUAGUCUGCAUGAGAAACUGCCGGGCUUGAGUAUGGGAGAGGUGAGUGGAAUUCCUGGUGUAGCGGUGAAAUGCGUAGAUAUCAGGAGGAACACCUGUGGCGAAAGCGGCUCACUGGACCAUAACUGACGCUGAUGCACGAAAGCUAGGGGAGCAAACAGG
rnacentral:rRNA from 1 species